AGGGCUGUAGUUAACCAUAAUAUUUGAUUUGCAAUCAAAAGGUACUCUCCAGAGUCUGCCUUA
rnacentral:tRNA from 1 species